rnacentral:rRNA from 1 species
UACGUAGGGGGUAAGCGUUGUCCGGAUUUAUUGGGCGUAAAGAGCGUGUAGGCGGCCAUGUAGGUCCGUUGUGAAAACUCGAGGCUCAACCUCGAGACGCCGAUGGAAACCAUGUGGCUAGAGUCCGGAAGAGGAGAGUGGAAUUCCUGGUGUAGCGGUGAAAUGCGCAGAUAUCAGGAAGAACACCAAUGGCGAAGGCAGCUCUCUGGGACGGUACUGACGCUGAGACGCGAAAGCGUGGGGAGCGAACAGG